UAUACUGCAGCCCUUUACCCUUGCAUUUUUCUAUAUACCGCUGCAUAUCUUGUAUAUAUCAGUCACUUUUAUUCUUGGGCAUCUUCUGUUUUUGACUUGCUUUCUUCUUUUGUAACAGGUAUAUUAGUUCCCUUGUUGUAUACCAACUGUAUACCACUACAAAUCAGUCCCUCGAAUGUGUAUCUCAAUCCGCUUGAAAACUUGGC
rnacentral:lncRNA from 1 species